UUACACUAUAAUUUCAUCGUGCCAAUCUGCAUUUUACAAGAAUUAAGGUUAUGUGUAAGAGAAACAAAUCUUAGAUCACGAGAAAAAAGUGUCAGUGUCAGAAUAAAGUUGUAAUUGAGAAGAAACUGAUUGAUUAUACAAAGAUAAUGUGGCAAUAUAACGAGAAUAAUAUAUAUUACUAAUAAUAUUACAACAAAAAAGGAUAGAGUCAUAAUCUAAUGAAAAUAAAUUCAUAAUAUUGUGAGAAUAAAGUCGUAAUAUUGUGAGAAUAGUUUUAAUUCCAAAGUCCGACACAAAGUCCAGAAAACUUCCAACUUUAAUGGACUUUAAUGAAAUGGACGAGACUCUUUUCAUACGUACGAGCAGCAGAAAUGAUUCUUAAUAGAGUUGUAAAGGCUCAUUUAUACUCAAUGUAAAAAUAUGUUGACAUAUAAAGGGGUCUUUAAAAGACGCCCCCUGCUGGAGAAUGUGAUGACCCCACUUGAUGUUAAGUGCAUCAAAUCAUUUCAGGGUUUUUAUAACUCCAGACUUAUCCUCGGAGUCUUCCCAUCAUUUCUAUCACUUAGCAACCAAAGUCAUUGCUGAGGUCUCAGCUGCAUUGUUCAGAGGUGGAGGUCGGGAAAUGCUGACAGCAGCAGAGAAUCUACGAAGAUCAGACUCUUUUCAUGCACGUAGGACAUUACACAGCACGGUGAGGCAGCGGCAGCGGCAGCAGCAGCAGCGGCAGCGGCAGCAGCAGAGUCACCUCCAGGUGCAUGAUGUGCACACGUCGGCAACAAAACAAUGAGCAGAGCAACGACAGCUUCAGGGCAGAAAAUCUGUCAUCAACACUUUAUCUGUCAGAAUCUCUCCUUUGUAAUGACGUUAUUUUUCCUCCUCUUUCUCAAUCUCCUUCCCCUCCGUCGACCUCCUCCCUCGCUCCCUCGCUCCCUCGCUCCCUCCUGCUGUGGCCGUGUUAUUAAAUGGCUGAGUGUGACCUUUCUGAGGAGAACAGACCAAACAACAUGCACCUCUCUUCCUCCUGCUGCCAGGAGGACUGCACCUCCUCCGUGUUAGUGGAUGGGACAUGGACCAAACUAAAAAGAUGUUGUGUAACUUUAGGUCGUUACUGAUUUUACAGAUUAUUUGUACAAGCACUACUUUAAAGUAGCCACUCGGCAGGUAAGAGAAUAAAAGUCUUAUUUCCCAGGAGGCUUUGUGUCUCUGCUGUGAAAUCUCUGCUCGCCUAACUCUCUCCACUUCUUUUAUUUUGACAGCUCUUUUUAUAAAUCCUCCUCCCAACACUCGUCUCUUCUCUCUUCCAGCGUCUCGUCCCCGUUCUCUUCCACCGCUGCUCUGUCGCUUCACUUCUUCCUCUCUCAGCGGGUUUUUCACACCAUCCUCAUCCUCCACCUCUGUCCUCAUCCCUCUCUUUCUCACCGUCUCUGUUCACGCUGACGUGCUUAUGUAAGGCAGCUGGUUGUGAAAUCAAUUACCAAUGCAUUAUCCAGCUAUAUUUGGCCUCGUGACGCCAGAGCCGCCGGUGGAAAGAUACCAGCGCUGUCCUCGUCUGACUUUAUGCUUUAUCAGUAGCUGUGGUGAGGUCUUUGUUCCUAAAUAACAGAUGUUGAUAUGUGUCUGUUCUUCUAAUGGAUUCAGUCUGUUGAUCAUUUGGUCUUUUCUACACUUUGAACGUCUCAACCCUGACUUUUCAUCUUGUGAUUAGAUUUGGUGAAAGCAUCAACGCUCCCCAGACGACGACUCUGUUGUCUCAGAAGUUUCUAUUUCAAAAAACUCCUCUCAGGUGUCAGUAGAAUUUGCUGUUGUCGUGAAAGUCAUAAAAUAAUCAUAAAAUAAUCCUGCUGAUAAACAAACAGGGGUGAAACCUCCUCGUUGGAGGUUCGACCUAUAAUCAUCUUCUUUAAAGUUCUAGUUCGGUUCAUAUUCCAUCUGCUAACAUGGAGGAGGCAGGGUUUAUGACCGCUACUACAGCCAGCCACCAGGGGGCGAUCGGGACACUUUGGCUUAACUCUUUGGAGCUGUCAUGUCGUCCAUCUUUAUUAAAAGUCUUUGAUCGAGUCCUCAGAACUAAACGACCUGUGAAUGUGAAUCGUCCCAGGAGCACGUGCACCAGACCCUUGUUGCCAUGGUAACAGUUAUAAAAACGCUAUCGGUGGGGAAGAUGGUCUCAGGCUGGUUCGUACUGCAGACAGCCUCCAGGGGGCGAUGGAGACACAUUGGUUUUAUGGAGCUGUGGUGUCGUCCAUCUUUUUACACAGUCACAGUUUCUAACGUCCACACAUCGUGGAUCCUUCCUGCUCGGCUGCCGUCGCCCAUCAGCCACUGAGCUGCAGGCCCGAGGUCACGUGGUCAUCACAGUCGCUCGCCGCCGCGGACGACACAACUUCAAAGCUUCUCUUUAUCCCUCAACCAACUGUGGCCCGGCAGCUGAAGAGUCAGUGGGACAAAACGAACGGUGUGAUGUCUGAAUCAAAAAGGACGAGACAUCUCAUUCAGCAUCGUGCUCAGAUGAGAACGUAUCAGAUAAAGAACGUCUUCUUUAUCUGAGCGACUAAUCGGACGAGUGCGAGGUCAUCGUGACCGACAGGAGCCGGUGUUUCAGCUCUUUAAGAGGACGCCGGGACAGCGGGGCGGCUCCGAGAGAAACUUCCUGUCAGAGCAGAAAUCAAUUACAGAGCCACGUGGAUGAUCUAAUGUGCGUCCACUGAAUCGAUACUUGGAAAGUGGGACGGCUCCGAGAGACGGACGCCGAGAGACGACAGGACGACCGAGGGUCAGAGACAGAAAGAGAGAGAACUGCGAACGAGAAACAAAUAACAAAAGCACUGAAGCUGAAACACUGGAUUUACUUCUUCUUCAUUGUUUCUAUAAUUUUCCACUACUAUCGAAAGAGUGUAAAAUGUUAUUACAUUAUGUGAAAAGGUCCCGUAACAAUCUGUUCCAGUGUUCUCUGAUUAUCUGAUAUUUAUAUUUAGCUGCAGGUGAAAAUUGUAUGCAGUGAAAUAUCUUUACACCUUAAAGAUUAAAAUUUCUGAUGACAACAAUUUCUUUAUAUCAAUAUGAACAUGUGAUGUUAUUCUAAAUGUUUGUUUACAUGUGUAUACAGCCUGGUGAACUACUUAUAAGUCACUAAUUAAUUAAUUUAAAUAAAAUGAAAGAAAAGGUAAUUUGACUGUUUUUAUAGUUAAAUCAAACAUUAUUUUACAAGUAACACCUGUACAUAUUAAUUUAAUAGAGUUUUGGUUGUACUUGUACUGUACAUUAUGAUAAAAGAUAUUCUGUUCUAUUCUAUUCUGGACUACCGUGUCUCUUCUGUCUGUGUCAGGUCACCGUGAACCAAACACACAGCUGUUACAUCGCUGACAUGUCGAGACAAGGAAACCAGAUUCUCUCCAAACAGACGAACGAGCAGAGAAAGAAGCAGCGUGAAAAAGAACCAGAGUCAUCAGAGCUGGAAACAUGAAGCUGAGGAGGAGGAGUUAGGACAUGAUGCUCGUAGACAAAGUUAAUCCUCCUCAUUCACGUCUGUGUCCAACAAUCGAGCUGAUGACUGAGAAUCUGAAAACUCGUUCAGGAGGAGAAUCUGUGAAGGAGCUUCACUGCUGCUGUGAGAACCAGACAAAGUUUAUCUUGAUGGUUCUCAGCAGA